CCGUCGUCGGUUCGUACUGUGAAGCAUCCUGUUAAGUCAGGCAACGAGCGAGACCCACGUCCACAGUUGCCAGCAUACCCUCCGGGGUGAUGGGUACACUGUGGAGACCGCCGCUGCUAAAGCGGAGGAAGGAGUGGGCAACGGUAGGUCAGUAUGCCCCGAAUCUCCCGGGCUACACGCGGGCUACAAUGGUUGGUACAAUGGGCAUCUACCCCGAAAGGGGAAGGAAAUCUCUUAAAGCCAAUCGUAGUUCGGAUUGAGGGCUGCAACUCGCCCUCAUGAAGCUGGAAUCCGUAGUAAUCGCGUUUCAACAGAACGCGGUGAAUACGUCCCUGCUCCUU
rnacentral:rRNA from 1 species